GUCAACUUAUCUUGAGCCCAUGCACGGAGUUGUUCACAAAAUGUGAUACCAGACUGAUAAUCCGUGUCUGUAGUGAGACGGGCAUCAUCAAAACUCUUUUCCAUUAUGGGCCAGUAAGCAUCCCCUGCCUUAAUUUCACACAGACUAAACAAAUCACGCCAUGCUGCAGAGUAAGUUUUACGGAUUUGAACAAUCCGACGGAAAAAGGGCAUGGGCUGUUUCUCAGGGUCAGGGAGUGAGUGUACUAGUGUUGCAGCUUGGGACGGGUUGAAGGUAACAUACAUUAAAGGGGCACCCUCCUGAUCAUGCUGGGUACUGCAAGCACCUGCUAUGGCAAUGUGAGGCAGAUUAGUCGGGGUCUGUGGAGACUGCACCCCCUGGACACUACCAUCAGCAGGGGGAAUGGGAAUCUGUUGGCUGGAUACACGAGCCAUGUCAGGAAGAACUGAAAUCGGUCCAACAGUAGUACUGGCCGCAGGGUGACUAACUGUAGGAGUAAUGUGGACCGAAUCAAGUUGUGAGGCAGGGGGAGAAGUGACUGAUGUAGC